AGGAUGUCCAUAUAAACUCCUUAAUUGCUUCUGCAUUAUUUAUAGCAAAAGGUUGUCUUUUGGAGAGUAUACUUUUGUCCUAGCUACUUCAGAACUAUGACUGUGUUUGAUAAAUAUUUAGAAUAGAGAGAGAGGCUUCUGUUUCCUUGAAUGACAAACAAAUAAAGGAAAUUUUCAUACAAUUCACAACAACGAAUUGAGCUGGGACGCUUAAAAGGAAAGCUUUCAAAUAUGUUGAUGCAUGGCUCCUUGCUUUUCUAGAGCCUGGCUUGGGAUCAACCAUGCCCAAACCAAUGGAAAUGGACGAUCUCCUCUAAUGUGCUUCUAAACUUGGGUACGCAGUUAUGUAUACGUAGAAUAAUACAGGUGCAUUGGGGCUUGAUUAUAUUUUUCUUUUUUGGUUUGUUCUGAUUUAGGAAUGUGAAUUGUUUUUACUCAACAGUAAUUUCCCUCUUUAUAAUUAAGUAGAGUUUACAGCACUGGUCGUAUUGUAAAAUUUCAACUUAAUUACGAUCUAACAAUGUCUAACCCAUUUAUUAUUCUUUUAUUUACAAAAA
rnacentral:lncRNA from 1 species